rnacentral:tRNA from 2 species
GCCACCCUAGCUCAGUUGGUAGAGCAACGCACUCGUAACGCGUAGGUCGCGGGUUCAAGUCCCGCGGGUGGCUCCA